rnacentral:rRNA from 1 species
AAAAAAAUAUGCUGGGCCAGUCUAGAAGGCAAGCCCAGCUUAUCUGGUAGAGUCCAGGCCCGGAACGGCAUUCCGUUGUCCUCUAACGGCACGCCAUUCCCCAUCCCUCUCGCCGCUGCCGUCCCCGUCUCUGACUUCUCUCUCUCUCCGGCCAAAUCAAUCCACCCGCCGGCGGCGAGCACGGAGACAGAGGGGUAGGAGCCGACAGCCGAGGCAGUCCACCACCGCGCCAUGGCGCCGCCCCCGAGCACCAGCGCCCCCGACGGCGGCCUGGAUCCCAGGGACGUGUGCGUCGUCGGCGUCGCCCGCACGCCCAUCGGCGCCCUGCUCGGCUCCCUCUCCUCCCUCCCCGCCACCAGGCUCGGCUCCGUCGCCAUCCAGGGUGCUCUCCGGCGAGCCAGCGUCGACCCGGCGCUGGUGCAGGAGGUGUUCAUGGGCAACGUCCUCAGCGCCAACCUCGGCCAGGCCCCCGCCAGGCAGGCCGCCCUCGGCGCCGGCCUGCCCAACACCGUCCCCUGCACCACCGUCAACAAAGUCUGCUCCUCGGGGAUGAAGGCUGUCAUGCUUGCUGUGCAGUCGAUUCAGCUGGGGAUCAACGACGUCGUGGUCGCCGGCGGCAUGGAGAGCAUGUCCAAUGCCCCCAAAUACGCUGCCACAGCAAGACGAGGAUCGCGGUUUGGGCAUGAUGUCCUGAUCGACGGGAUGCUGAAAGACGGGUUGUGGGAUGUGUACAAUGAUUUCCAUAUGGGGAUGUGCGCUGAGCUCUGUGCAGAUCAGCACUCGAUUACAAGGGAGGAGCAGGAUGCUUAUGCCGUACAGAGCAAUGAGCUUGGACUAGCGGCUCGAGACAGCGGCGCGUUUGAUUGGGAAAUUGUUCCGGUUGAAAUUCCUUCCGGUAGAGGCAGACCACCAGUUGUUGUUGACAAGGAUGAGAGUCUUGCAAAGUACGAUCCAGUGAAGCUGAAGAAACUUGGACCGGCUUUUAAGAAGAAUGGCUCUGUGACUGCCGGCAAUUCUUCUAGUAUAAGCGACGGUGCUGCUGCAAUUGUGCUAGUCAGUGGGGAGAAAGCCAAGAACCUUGGCCUUCAAGUUAUUGCAAGGAUCAGAGGGUAUGCUGAUGCUGCUCAGGCACCUGAGCUAUUUACAACAACUCCAGCUCUUGCUAUCCCAAAGGCUAUAUCAAAUUCAGGUCUCCGAGAUUCACAAAUAGAUUAUUAUGAGAUAAAUGAGGCUUUCUCGGUUGUUGCAGUGGCAAAUCAGAGACUUCUUGGCAUCUCUCCUGGAAAACUGAAUAUAAGUGGUGGCGCUGUUUCCCUGGGCCAUCCUAUCGGUUGUAGUGGUGCCCGAAUCAUAGUCACCUUGCUCGGGAUUCUUAGACAGAAACAGGGCAAGUUUGGGGUAGCCGGAGUUUGCAACGGCGGAGGUGGUGCUUCAGCCAUCGUCGUAGAGUCCAUGCAAUCUUCGUCGCGCCUGCGUUCCUCGCUGUGAUGCGAAGUUACCAAACCAUGAGCGUAUUGGCAAGAAGAGCUGAGGUGUAAAGGUUGUUGUAUGUUCACUGCUGUAUCUUGUUUGUGUGAGCCGUAGUGNNNNGCAUCCUUUCAGCAACUAGAUGUGUAGUAAGAUGAUGUGCAGCAGAGGAGAUGAAUAAUUGGGUUUGCAGCCUGAGCCUGUAAAUGUUGUGGAGCAAAUAAUUGUGUGACUGUGAGUUGCAAUCAUGUGGGCAUAGUAUGGUAGAGUAUUUCUCAUCUCCUUUUUUUUUCCUGCGGACAUGAUAGGAUUUGUAGCUGAGCAUAGCGGAGUCUGUACGCCAUUAGCAAAAACAUAUACUCCCUUUGUACCGCGAAAUACUUGUAGUUAGAGAAAGCUAGUACAAGUUCUCCCAACAACAAGUAUUGUGGUACAAAGGGAGUAGUAAGAACCUAAGCUUUAUACAAAUAUACAUAUGCCUUGCGGUUUUUCGGGUCAUGGCCACCCACCGCCGAGCGAUUCUUCUUGC